UGAUUAUGAAAUGGAGGAAGAAAUUUGACUCUCCAAAUGACCAACAGGAGCUCAACAGGCAUCCUCCCCACUCAAGGACACACAGGAUGACAGCUUCAUGAGCUUCCAGGGAUGCUGACCCAGAUUCCUUAAGGAGCAAACAGGUAGUAAAUAAGAGAAGUGAGCUAGUGUGAGACAGUACGGAUGGGGAUUU
rnacentral:lncRNA from 1 species